UACGUAGGGUGCGAGCGUUGUCCGGAUUCAUUGGGCGUAAAGCGCUCGUAGGCGGUUCGGCAAGUCGGGUGUGAAAACUCCAGGCUCAACCUGGAGACGCCACCCGAUACUGCUGUGACUCGAGUCCGGUAGGGGACCACGGAAGUCCUGGUGUAGCGGUGAAAUGCGCAGAUAUCAGGAGGAACACCGGUGGCGAAGGCGGUGGUCUGGGCCGGAACUGACGCUGAGGCGCGAAAGCUAGGGGAGCGAACAGG
rnacentral:rRNA from 1 species